rnacentral:rRNA from 1 species
GACGAACGCUGGCGGCGUGCUUAACACAUGCAAGUCGAACGCUGAAGCUUGGUGCUUGCACUGGGUGGGUGAGUGGCGCACGGGUGAGUAAUACGUGAGUAACCUGCCCUUGACUCUGGGAUAAGCCUGGGAAACUGGGUCUAAUACUGGAUACGACCUGUCACCGCAUGGUGGUGUGUGGAAAGGGUUUUACUGGUUUUGGAUGGGCUCACGGCCUAUCAGCUUGUUGGUGGGGUAAUGGCUCACCAAGGCGACGACGGGUAGCCGGCCUGAGAGGGUGACCGGCCACACUGGGACUGAGACACGGCCCAGACUCCUACGGGAGGCAGCAGUGGGGAAUAUUGCACAAUGGGCGAAAGCCUGAUGCAGCGACGCCGCGUGAGGGAUGACGGCCUUCGGGUUGUAAACCUCUUUCAGCACGGAAGAAGCGAAAGUGACGGUACGUGCAGAAGAAGCGCCGGCUAACUACGUG